CUGGGACUCUCCUGCCAGCACCGCCCCCUCCUCUCCCUCUGUAGGGCCCCAGCAGCCCCUUCAAGCCCCCCCAACCUGCCCCUCAGUGUCCCCCCAUCUGUUGUGACCCUCUCGCCAGCCCCACCCCCAUCUGUGGGGAUCCCUCAGCCCCCAGCAUCCCCUCCCCCGUCAUGUACACUCUGCCUGGCCUUUCCCUUCGCCCCGACCUCCCCCCCCCGUCCUCAGCACCCCGACACCGACCUCCUCCUCUCGCCCCACCCCCCACAUCCUCUUUCCCGUUCUCAGCACCCCACAUCCCCUUCUUCCUCUUCCCCCCCAUCCCCGUCCUCAGCGCCCCAUCCCUAAUUGCCUCCAACCCAUUUCUCAUUGCUGGGCCCCACUUUCCCAUCCCCCCACUCCCCCAGUCCAUCCCCAGGGUGUGAGGUUCCUCAUCUUCAAUCUCUGCUACACCCAAACCUGCCAGGUUCCCCUUUUCAACCACUGUGGGGUCGUCCAACCGCCGACACCCAUCCACUCUGGGCUCUCUAAAUCCCACAUUCCCACAAUGCACCUUGGUAACGCCACUCUCCUCUGUCCCUAAUCCCCCUAUUCCCUUCCCUCAGGUCCUCCUGGACACCCCAACCCACAGUCAGGCCUCCACAUACAUCCCAGUCAUUUACAUGCUGAGCUAGUUCUUCAGGGACCCCCACAGCCCAGCAAACUUCUCCAUCCAUGAGCCCCAUGGACCUGUGGCCAGGAAGGGUGAAGUGUGGUUUUGGCCGAAGAUGAGGUGUUUUGGUAGCCCUGUGGAUGCUGUGUGGUGUCUGGAAUGGGGCGUGUGUGUUCCCAUCAUGCCCCUUCCCCUCUGCCUGCAGAGCUGAGGACAGACAGGUCUGAGGAGCAGAGCAGGAGCUCUGGGAAGGAGAAAAGCAAUAUGAAGAUGGAGUCUAAGAUGAGACCAGGGAAAAGAAGUCGUGGGGACGUAGUCCAGCCCUGAGGUGAGAUGGAAAGUGAUCAAGAGCAGUGACAGCGUGAAUCCUGUUGAUGCCAGGCAAGAGCUGCCCAACUGGGACAAGAGUAACCAUCCCUGUCGCUCUGCUGCUCUCCCUCUGAGCUUUCUCAGCACCUGGCCCCACAGCACUUCCUGCCAGCCAGAGACUGCUUGUUCUAGGCCUGUUCCUGUGGAUGUGGCCUCUCUCCUGAUUCCUGAGGAAAGGAACCUUUCCAGGAAAUGGCCAUGACUUCUGGGAAUCUGCAUGUGGCUGGUGGACAGCACCAGGAAUCAUUUGGCUCCUGGCACACAAGGCAACUUAAAGCUGAGCACCCAGACAAGGCCUUUAACCCAGGACCUUCAGAUUAAGAGCCUGGUGCUCUACCAACUGAGCUACCUGAAAGCAUCUUCACCAGUCACCAAAAGAGCGAGCAAGUAGGCAAAAGAGAGGCAAAAAAAAGUCCCAGGAACCCCUCAUGUGGCCUAACGGAUAAGGUAUCUGAGUGUGGAUCAAAAGACUGAGGGUUUAAGUCCCUUGGUGGUUGUGUUUCUGCACUUUUACCUUUGUGCUGAAAGUCCUGCUCCCUGCAGGGCUGGAACCUCUUCUUGGCUGCUCAGGCCAAUGCUCUGGCUUCAGCUAGAGCCCCGGGAAGGAGUUGGGGGUUGGGUGUCACAAAGGCUGGGGCAUGAGCCCCAAGUGCUUCCAGUCUAACCUUUGCCAUUCCUGACUUGCCAAAGAAAAUGGGCAGCUGCCCGGGCUGGCGUGUGCACCUGACCCUGUGCUGGAGGGUACUUGCUACAUAGCGUCUUCGGAGCCUGGGUGUUUCUCUGCUUCUCACCAGCUUAGGAAAAGCCUCUUGGGGUAAAAGCUCCUG